rnacentral:rRNA from 1 species
GAUGAACGCUGACAGAAUGCUUAACACAUGCAAGUCGAUGGGGAAGUGGUGCUUGCACCAUGGUAACCAUGGCGGACGGGUGAGUAACGCGUAAGGAACUUGCCUGCGGGACUGGGAUAACAGCAGGAAACUGCUGAUAAUACCGGAUAAGGUCAUUAAGCUGCAUAGCUUAGUGAUGAAAGGAGACGCCUGCGGAGAGCCUUGCGUCCUAUUAGCUAGUUGGAGGGGUAACGGCCCACCAAGGCGAAGAUAGGUAGCCGGCCUGAGAGGGUGGACGGCCACAAGGGGACUGAGAUACGGCCCUUACUCCUACGGGAGGAAGCAGUGGGGAAUAUUGGACAAUGGGGGCAACCCUGAUCCAGCAAUUCUGUGUGCACGAAGACGGUUUUCGGAUUGUAAAGUGCUUUCAGCAGGGAAGAAGGAAGUGACGGUACCUGCAGAAGAAGCGACGGCUAAAUACGUG